AUAUGGAGAAUGCAAUAGAGGUCACAUGUCGAACCUCAUCGUCACUAUGCUGUUGAUAGUAUUCUUGGAGUUGGUGCCCAGUUCUAAUGUCAAACAACCUGCAAGUUCCAUCAUCUGAUCCGGUUCCAAACCUAUUGCCAUCUGGAAAGAACUUCACAGUAUUGACAUCUCCCUCAUGCCCAUGAAAAGUGCGCACAGCUCGACUUGCAACACGGGUAUCCCACAAUCGGGCAGUGGAAUCACAUGAACCAGAUACAAACAUUCUUGAGUUUGAUCCAUUAAUAGAAA
rnacentral:misc_RNA from 1 species